AGCGAACGCUGGCGGCAGGCCUAACACAUGCAAGUCGAGCGGCCGUAGCAAUACGGCAGCGGCAGACGGGAGAGUAACACGUGGGAACGCGCCCUUCGGUUCGGGAUAACUCAGGGACACUUGGGCUAAUACCGGAUACGCCCUUAUGGGGAAAGAUUUAUUGCCGAAGGAACGGCCCGCGUCCGAUUAGCUUGUUGGUGAGGUAACGGCUCACCAAGGCGACGAUCGGUAGCUGGUCUGAGAGGAUGACCAGCCUCACUGGGACUGAGACACGGCCCAGACUCCUACGGGGGGCAGCAGUGGGGAAUAUUGGACAAUGGGCGCAAGCCUGAUCCAGCCAUGCCGCGUGGGUGAUGAAGGCCCUAGGGUUGUAAAGCCCUUUCAGCGGGGAAGAUAAUGACGGUACCCGCAGAAGAAGCCCCGGCUAACUUCGUGCCAGCCGCCGCCGUAAAAC
rnacentral:rRNA from 1 species